rnacentral:lncRNA from 1 species
GUACAUUCUUUGUUGUCAGAAUAUCGUUAUGUUUACAAUUACCUUACUGUUAUAAUCUAUUCAAACGUUUGUGGAGUAUAAAGAAUCAUAAAUUUAUUCGUAUUGAUAUUUUAACGCAAGACAAACACGGACGUAGAGGUAUAAUGUUGGCGUUUGCUUUUGUUGUGGUUUGGCUGGCCGCUAGGACAACAGUUGGUUAUAGCUUGCAUUUCACUUUGUCAAAGCCACGGGUUGUAUUAGGAGCUACAGGGAAACUCUUCAUGUCAUGUCAUGUUACAGAAAAAGAUGUUUCUAGCGUAUAUAUCUUACAAAUACGGCGAAAAAUAAUUUCAGGGUGGGACACGAUAGCAAUAAUCGACGCAAGUAAAAGUGAAUAUCCGACUUUAUGUAAAGGCAUUGUUAAUGACAAGGAUUUUAUUGUCGGUGGAGUGUAAGAUAAUAAAAUCCCGCAAAACACUCGUUUAACUUUAAAUAUGAAUAUUUUGACAAUGAAAUUGGAUGACACUGGAGUAUAUAGAUGUGAGAUGUCCUAUAAAAGUACCAUUACCGGGGACGUUGUCAUCGUAGAAAGAAACGCUACGCUUUUAAUUGAAGUUUCCGGCUUGAAUUUCACUUUGUCAAAGACUCGAGUUAUAGUAGGAUUUACAGGAAAGCUGUUCAUGACAUGUCAGGUUACAGAAACAGACGUUAUGGUAUUAUAUAACAUACAGAUACGGCGAGAAACUAAUUUCGGAUGGCAGACAAUCUCAUAUAUCGAAGCAGGUGGUACUGAAGUGCCAGCUUUACAUAAAGACAUUGAUAAUGACAGGGAUUUUGUUGUUGGUGGUAUACUGGAUAAAGAAAACCCACUGAACACUUACCUGACUUUACAAAUGAAUAUAGAGUAGAUGACUUAUGAUGAUGCUAGAGUAUAUAGAUGUGAAAUGACGUAUAAAAGCAACACUUCUGGAAGUUCUGUCUAUAAAACCAGAAAUGCCACGCUUUUAA